ACUCCUCACCUGACCCCUGCCUGCCCCUGCUCUGCCGGCCCCUUCUGCCAGCCCUCCGUCCCUCUCCAGGCCUGGAGCGAGGGGUGCCUCUGGGAGCGGGCACCCCGCAAAACUCCGCUUUCUGGCCCCUGUCUGGGGCCAGCAGCUGUCAUUUGCCGGGCGUUCCGCUUUCUCCACUGUACCAUGCUAAUUUUUCGAGGGACAAUUUUUUGACAAUGAGUCCUCCAGCCCGAACAGAAACCCUUUAUGGGGCCGGCCCCAGGGAGGCCGCGGCGCUGCCAAGGCAAACAAAGGCUCAUUGCUGCGGCGGAACACGCCUGCGCCUUUCGGGGCCGGGUUCGCAGAGCGCGCCGCCUCCAGCCCGCGCCGAGGUAACACCUGGUCCGCCAACUCCUGGCGCCUAAUCAAGAUAUCAAUCAUGGCGCGGGGGCAGGGGGGCGCACGGGCGCCGAAGGCUCCAGAACCCGGCAUGUGCAGAUGGGGAAAAUUAGCUCCGAGAGGUGACAUCUUGCCCGAAGUCCCACGGCUGGUCUGUGGCAAGUGGAGAGUCGCAAGUCUUUCCAAAGGCCCCUGCGCCUAGAACACGCCGUCCGUCGCGCGGCCGCGGCGACAGAGGGAAUGCUUGACUGCCACCUUCUCUCCCUUACCGGCUUGCGGGCGAACCAGCAGGCUUGGGAGAGCAGGAGAUUGGGGAGGGCGGACUCUCCAGCCACGCCUCGUCCCCCGGAGCCUCCACCAAUCCCGGGCCCGGAAAGACCCGCCCGCUGCCGGCCAUGCCCAGCACCUGCGCAGGUAGUGAGCGCAGGUGAACCUCAGGCCGGGGCUUCUAUGGCCGCACUCUGCGCAGAAAAGCUGCGUGGAGAAGCUUCCCAGCAGUCGCUGGGAAGGGCUGGGCCGGGUCGUGGUUCUGCCACUUACUCGCUGUGUGACCUCCUGUGCCUCACUGUGACGUGGGACAACGGUAGUCCCAGCCUCAUAGUGCUCUCUGAGGAUGGAAUGAGCUCUUCCUGCCAGUCAAGCUCAGCCUAGGGCCGGCUGUGAAUGUGGUCAGAAAACCCCACGUGCAGGCCUGCAUCCGCCACCAGACCUUGGUUCGCCGCACUGAGACGCUCUCGCAAGGCUGAUAACGGGCUGUGAGCGAGCUUCCCAAGUGCUGCCUUUGCCCUUGGCCUUGUCUAUCCUGGGACGCACCCCCAGCCUCCCAGGAUCUGGCACUGAAGGGACCUAAUAGGAGACCAACCCCCGCCUGACCCAGACUAUGGGGGCAUUCAUCCUGAGUGGUUAGUGCCCAUGAUGUACUGUUUGUUAAAUAUUUUGAAUAUUAUCCCUGAUCGUCUAAGUAAUAAAAUAUUUUGCUGUUGCCAAAGACAACA